rnacentral:rRNA from 1 species
UACAGAGGGGGCAAGCGUUGUUCGGAAUUACUGGGCGUAAAGGGCGCGUAGGCGGCCUUCUAAGUCGAACGUGAAAUCCCCGGGCUCAACCCGGGAACUGCGUCCGAUACUGGAAGGCUUGAAUCCGGGAGAGGGAGACGGAAUGCCGGGUGUAGUGGUGAAAUGCGUAGAGAUCCGGCGGAACACCGGUGGCGAAGGCGGUCUCCUGGGCCGAGGGCCGACGCUGAGGCGCGAGAGCGUGGGGAGCGAACCGG